UUAGUGAACUAUGCUCCGGCGUCACUCGCUCUCCUCCCCUACCUGGAGCAGCUCAAGGAGCCGGAGGGCAUCGGGCUUUUACUAAUCAGCCACACUAAGGAGUGAGGCGGAAAGUUACCAUAACUGGGCUCCUUCAGCCCGAAAAACCUGCUCAAUCUCGGCUGGAGACCUGUUUGGGCAGGAAAAAGAGCAGGCGACCCGAAAGGUGCACUUUGAUAGAUUGGAAAAAUGGAGCGGAUCGUCUCUGAUUUAUUAAAGGAAUGUAUGAAUGGGCUUCUUCGUCACCUCCCGCUCUUUCCCCGGGGAAGCGACACUUGCAAGGUUCCCUGGCGGCUGCCCAGCCACGCACUUGACGGAAAUGAACUGUAUGUCCUAUCUUGCUUCUGGGGAAGCAGAAAAUUUUUGUUGCAUUAUUCAGUCAUGUGAUUCAAGUUUUGUAAAAGAUCAUCUUGGAACAGAAUCAUCCAGCCAACUUGGAAAGGAUUUAUUACAUGAAUCAGUAGACAAAUCAGAUAUGCAUCCCGCAGAAAGUGAAGAGGUUGAAUCGCUGAAGGAAAACUGGAUCUCGUACAACAGAUUUAUGAAUAAACAUCGAAGCAGGAUGAGAGAACCCUUGCCAUCCCUUGAGGAUAAACCCCAGGAGAGCACCUUGGAAGAAAGCCUGAACACAAGUGAAACAAAACGGUCGUGGGAAGAUGCUAUGAAAGAUAAAGUUGCUUUUCAGGAAAUGCUUCACGAGGCAGAGUUGGCAGUUAACUCGGCAGAAAUGUUUUUGCCAUCGUUUAAAGAAAGUCUUGUUAGAAUUACAAAAGCCUGUUGUAUUUCUGCUUCUGAUGAAAUAACAAUUUCUAUGCAAGAGAACUUACUGAUAAAGGAGCUAGAAGCUAUUCAAAAAAUGAAGGAAUUAUUAAGCUGGCUAUUAAAGUCAAGCAAGGAAAAAGAAAUUAUCGGUAAUGAGACAAAAGAUUUGGAUCAGACUUUAUCAGAAAGUAAAGUCUAUGUUGAAAGCCUCAGAAAUGAAGUGAUUCAACAAGAGAAGCAUAUUUUAGAGCUUUCAGAUCAGCUUCAGCAAGAAAAAGCUAAGAUACAAAAAACAUACCGCCAUUCUGAAGCAAUACAAACAGUACAAACUCAUCUACAGUCUCAGGUAGAAAAAAAAGAAGAAGAAAAUAAUCAGCUAAGAGCAAAAUUUCAGACAAUGGAGAAGAAUAUUGCUGAAUGGAAGAGACAGGUUGGUGAAUAUAAGCAGAAAAUUUUGGCUGAAAAGAAAAGGAAAGUGGAACGGAAGAACGCCCUGAAAAGAGCAGCUGUUGUUCAGAAACAAAGAGCUGAACAGAUGAAAAUAGUUGUCGAAAACUUAUUUUCAAAAGUGAAAGAGAAGGAAAUCCAGUUGUCGGAGGCAUUUUCGGCUUCUAAUAUCUGGAAAAGUCAUCACAAGAUCAUAAUAGAGGAAAAAAUCAAGUUAGAGGUCCAGGUUGAAACUUUAAAAAAGCAGACCACAGACCUUGUAAUGGAUCUAAACAGAAUAGAAGAGGAUGAAAGAAAGUCAACAAACAAGAUUAUCCAAAAGAUUAAUUUUGUUGCUUCUGAAAAUAAAAAGAUUUCUACAGAAAAUUCAAGGCUAAAGGCAUCCCUAGACGAUUUGGAAGCAGAUUUUAUUACUGCAGAAGCGGAACUUAAAAAUUUACAUGAACAAGUGCAUCAACAAGAAGAACUGGUUGAACAGUAUAAAAUUGAGGUGGCAAAAUUAGAAGUGGAAGCUGAAGAACUGAGAACAAGAUAUGAAAAGAUCAUGCAUGACAGCAGAACUAUAACAGAAGGCAGAGAUGUAGAAAGGGAUGCGAUGAAGAGCCAAACGGAGGCUCGCCAGAAGGAGGUAGAAUAUGCCCGUGGCUUACAGAAAGCAGCUGAAGAGAAACUGCAGAAGUAUCAGGAAAGCCUACUCUCCUGCCAAAAGAGCUGCGUAGAAAAAUCCAAAACCCUUAGGGAGCUGCAGGCUCAGAUAAAUCAUAGUGAUGAAUUUUUGAAACAGCUUUCCUUGGAGGAGGAAAAUUACAACAUUCAGCUAAAAUAUGAGGAAGUUAAAAGAAAGCUAGAAGAAAUUGAAUUGCAAAACACAGAACUGGAAAAUCAGUUGGUGACUCAAGAAGAUAGCCUUCAGAAAACCGAACUGCAGUUUAAACAGAAACUUACAGAAUAUGAUGCUUUAGCAAGACAGCUAGAAGCUGCUUUGGAAGAUGGAAGGAAACAGUUAGCAGAGGAACUAGGAAAGAUUAAUUCUAAGGAGCGAUCUUUUCAGUUGAAAAUAUUGGAUCUAGAAAAUGAAUUAAGACAGAAGAAAAAAGAAAAGAAAGAGCUAUCCAAAAGACUGGACAGUGAUAUUGAAUUAAACCAAGGGCAUUUGGGAUCAGAUCCCUAACAAAUCAUAAAUCUCAUUAAGACAGAUGGAGAGAAAUUCAAACAAACCUAACUGCAAUCCUAAAAUACACUUCUUACGAGAUAAACAUCAUGAAGUCUCUUUAAAGGAACUAGAACACAGUCUUCAAAGAUCAGAAAACCAAAACCAAAGUAUCCAAAAC